CAACGAUGUAUUGAGGAAGACCUGGUGGGACAGAGGGUACUUGCAAUUUAUUUUUAAGGGUUUCGCAUCCUCAACUAGAGUUGGAGCUCCCCAAGAACAGAGAUUCUUUCUCUCCUUUGGUUCCUUAUGUAAUCUAACACAUGACAUCACACACAAGAAUUUACUUUGAGGAAGAAUAGAAAGAGCCAAGUGAGCAGAUUUCAUAAUUGCCAAACUUUAUUUUCACUCUGCCUCCAACUUUCCCGGUGAAACAGAACAUAAAGAAAGCCUUUUACAAAUGGAUAAUUAUAUACUCACACAUCUCAUGAU